GAGACAAGGAGAAAUUUGUUUUGGCCGAGCUGUGUUGCGAACGAAGGAGUUCGCUGCCAUGCAACUAUGGAAGAUAGCUCAUAACCGUGUAAACCAUAUUUCUAAGCACUUCGACUAACAUCAACUACGUGAACUUAAAGUGUAAUAGGUGACCCUAAGAAAUCUGUACAAAAGCAUACAUGGUCAUUGCUC